GACGAACGCUGGCGGCGUGCUUAACACAUGCAAGUCGAGCGGUAAGGCCCUUUCGGGUACACGAGCGGCGAACGGGUGAGUAACACGUGGGUGACCUGCCCUCAGCUCUGGGAUAAGCCUGGGAAACCGGGUCUAAUACCGGAUAUGACUCCAUGACGCAUGUUGUGGGGUGGAAAGCCUUGUGCGGCUGAGGAUGGGCCCGCGGCCUAUCAGCUUGUUGGUGGGGUGAUGGCCUACCAAGGCGACGACGGGUAGCCGGCCUGAGAGGGCGACCGGCCACACUGGGACUGAGACACGGCCCAGACUCCUACGGGAGGCAGCAGUGGGGAAUCUUGCGCAAUGGGCGAAAGCCUGACGCAGCGACGCCGCGUGAGGGAUGACGGCCUGG
rnacentral:rRNA from 1 species